UCCUACGGGAGGCAGCAGUGGGGAAUAUUGCACAAUGGGCGCAAGCCUGAUGCAGCCAUGCCGCGUGUAUGAAGAAGGCCUUAGGGUUGUAAAGUACUUUCAGCGGGGAGGAAGGUGAUAAGGUUAAUACCCUUAUCAAUUGACGUUACCCGCAGAAGAAGCACCGGCUAACUCCGUGCCAGCAGCCGCGGUAAUACGGAGGGUGCAAGCGUUAAUCGGAAUUACUGGGCGUAAAGCGCACGCAGGCGGUCAAUUAAGUCAGAUGUGAAAGCCCCGAGCUUAACUUGGGAAUUGCAUCUGAAACUGGUUGGCUAGAGUCUUGUAGAGGGGGGUAGAAUUCCAUGUGUAGCGGUGAAAUGCGUAGAGAUGUGGAGGAAUMCCGGUGGCGAAGGCGGCCCCCUGGACAAAGAC
rnacentral:rRNA from 1 species